UGCAAGUCGAGCGCGCCCUUCGGGGUGAGCGGCGGACGGGUUAGUAACGCGUGGGAAUAUGCCCGACACUAAGGAAUAGCCUCUGGAAACGGAGAGUAAUACCUUAUACGCCCUUCGGGGGAAAGAUUUAUCGGUGACGGAUUAGCCCGCGUUAGAUUAGAUAGUUGGUGGGGUAAUGGCCUACCAAGUCUACGAUCUAUAGCUGGUUUUAGAGGAUGAUCAGCAACACUGGGACUGAGACACGGCCCAGACUCCUACGGGAGGCAGCAGUGGGGAAUCUUGGACAAUGGGCGCAAGCCUGAUCCAGCCAUGCCGCGUGAGUGAUGAAGGCCUUAGGGUCGUAAAGCUCUUUCGCCAGAGAUGAUAAUGACAGUAUCUGGUAAAGAAACCCCGGCUAACUCCGUGCCAGCAGCCGCGGUAAUACGGAGGGGGUUAGCGUUGUUCGGAAUUACUGGGCGUAAAGCGCGCGUAGGCGGAUUAGUCAGUUAGAGGUGAAAUCCCGGGGCUCAACCCCGGAACUGCCUUUAAUACUGCUAGUCUUGAGUUCGAGAGAGGUGAGUGGAAUUCCGAGUGUAGAGGUGAAAUUCGUAGAUAUUCGGAGGAACACCAGUGGCGA
rnacentral:rRNA from 1 species